UGGCCUGUUAUCCCCGAAUCUGAGACCAAACCCAAAUAACACCAGCUCCAUCCCCACAUCCCCUCCACCGUCGCCCUCUCGCAACACCCCUCGUCCCUGCCGCCGGCGAUGAUAGCUCGGCCGCCGCCCUCCGUCCGCCCGCCGCCCUAACCCCCGCCCUCGACCACAUCCCCCGACCUCGAGCUCCACAUCCCCGGCCCCUGCUUCGGCCGCCGCCGCCCCUUUUCUCUCCCGCAAAGCCCCUUGUCCAGAUCUAUCAGCCGCAGGCCCGUUUCAUUGGUGGGCAGCCGGUGGCCUUCGAGGCCAGAGGAACUGGUCUUUGCUAGGUAAAGGGCCGAUGAUGGCAUCCGCAAUUGUUCUUCCAAACACGAGCAACAUCCUGUGUCUCUCAUAGAUCGACCUGCUAGUUUGCUUCAACCUGUGAGCUGUAUUGUUGGUAGCUACGUUGGAGUGAUUGAACAUGUUGUUAGUCUGAACCUAAACUGAUCCCUGCUUAGUUAGUCAGUCCCUUUGUUUAAGAUUAGGCUGUGGCAUUAUGAAGGUUACUUGUUGGAUCUGUGGUGCUACUGAGAAGUGCACAAUCCAACCUUAUUUUAUUCCAGUUUCUAAUUUGUUGGUCAGAUCGAUGGCUACAGGGAUGGGUUACUUUAAAUUUCUGAAUUAUAAGAUUGCAAGUUUCUGAAAUGUCGGUCUAGAUUGCAUGUGUAACCAGCUAUACAGAUGAUAUCGCUAGAAUUAGUAAUAAAUCUAGAGUACCACUUUUCUCGUAGCCCUUGGAUAAAAUUCAUAGAUUAUGGUGGACAGAUUAGUAGCCCUUGGAUAAAAUGGUCUGAUUGGAAAUAACCUGAACCCGCCUUCUCCAUGUGCGCUACCAGUACGUACGUAGCGAUAAUCUAUGAAUUUUUCAUCAGCGUCCGUCGUGCGUCUGUUGGGAGGGAAAAAGAACAGAUCGAUGGUGUUUGGGAAAGGAUUACAUGCAAGCGCUUGCGCACAGCCUGACGGCUGAAGCUAGCUUGAUUGGUGUGUUCCUUGCAAGUCAGCUGUGUUGCGCUUCACAUCUAGGCAUGAAUGUGUGUAUAUCUAUCUUCUUUUAUUAACCGGUGAGUCUGUAUAGUGGGGUUUGCGUCGUCCUACAACUUUUGAUAAACAAACUUUCUAUAAUCCUUACUUUUUAGUAGCUGUCUAAAUAAAAAAUUUGUACUCCCUCCGUCCCGAAUUACUUGACUUAGAUUUGUCUAGAUACCGAUGAAUCUAACACUAUGUAAAACAAGUAAUUUGGGAAGGAGUUAAUAUUCUUUUUGACAUUUUGGUUUUGCAGCUACAACUUUAAUGAGUAAUGUGUUCGAGUUUUUCAGUUAUCGGCAGAUGUGAUAAAUAUUUCCAAUUAUUAUGAUGCAUCUAAUUCAGAUUUGUAAGUUUGAUCUCAAGGAUGAUAAAUUGUAAACCAUGUUGUUUGAUUUUCUUUACUUGUAUGAAAAUUUCCUCUUUCUAGUUUACUCUAUGUAUAUGCGGUCUUCUAAAUAAUAUUUCAAUUUGGUCAUAUAUUUUCAAUGCCAAUGGCAACAGGUAACAAAGGUUUGUGUGACAUGUAGUUGUAGCAUUACUAUGACAGUGUGCAUGAAAGCAAGGUACUAUUUUUAUAACAACAUUUACUUUACCGUUGUGAUGUACUAAUUUAGGAACUUUAAUAUCCUCUAUUAUUUAUUGGUGUUCAAUUCAUAAUACCCUAUUUGUUUUGGUUUACAAGUUUCAUUAGUUUCUAUUGACUUGCUGAUAUAACCAAACUGAAAAAGAAUUGAAAGUGUCUUGGAAUAAAUCUAUAUAAUCGUUUACUGUUUAUAUCUUGACAAAAGGUUAUUGUUUGAUAAAAAUGAGUUUCUCCUGGAGCCUUUUCAUCAGUUUUCACAUAUUAUCAUAGUAGGACUAACUAUAUUAAAGGAUCAACUUGAUCAUAAUUUCUUUUCUGAGGUCCUUUUGAGCCAUGAGAUAUUGCAAAUAGUUAAUUAAAUCAUUGCACUGGAUAUAGAAGUUAUGAUUUAUGCCAUCAAACGAAGGUAUACUUAGAAAUGCCAACUAUUUCUUUUUUGCAAAGGAGAAAUAAACCUUGAUCGCAUGGUGCACACAACCUAAGUGGAUGCACCACAUUAGCCUCCAGAUCAAUCGGCGCGUACAAAUAAAGUUCGUUCAGUUUUAAUCAUUAAACAACAAUGCCAUGAGUAUCAUCUCAAUUGUAUGCUACUAAAAUAUUUCUAAGUUCUGUAAUUUCUAAGUAUAUACUAACACAUUCAUGAAAACGAUGGUAGCUAGCUUGUGCAGAGUUGAUGACUAGUGGCAUAAACUAAACUGCACAUCCUACAGUUUUUUGAUCUGAAGUUGUACAUAUUAGUUCUACUUCAUCAGAUAACGUGCAAACACAAUUAUUUUCGAACUUUGAAGUAGAUAAAAUGGUCAGGGGGCACCCACACAUAUUCCUCAUAUGUACACGCGAGUAACAAUCACAUGUUUGCAGUCCCAUUCAGUUGGAACAUAUGAGAAUUUGACCCAUAGCCUCCAUAUUGAAGCUAACUUCGUAUUAGAACAAAUACAACUUUACACUGGCUGAUCCUACUACAGUUUCUUGCAUGUACGAGGUUGAAUAGAAUUUGUAGAUAUGCCUGCCAUGGAGAAAUGCUUACUCUAUGUAUAUGUAGAUAUGUCUGCAUGAUGAUUCCUUUCAGCAUUUUAAAAAUAUUUUACAUCACAUAUGGCAGAACUAUGUUAUGUGUGUUCUGGGCAUAUGUCAUAAAUACUCUUGUGCUUCUCUUGGCUGCCAAUCUCCCUAUGAGCUUCGAAGAACUUGAGCCGACUGCACUUUCUACCAAAUUCUUGUGUAAUAUUUUUAGGUAAUCAGCCACCUAGUAUUCAUGGAUGUGAUGACUUUGGAGUGUUAUGGAGCAUUUGGUUGACUGGAGUAUUUUGGACCAGCCAACUUAAUUGUAAUCAUGAAUCUUAUGUAUGUUCUGGACCAUUUGGUGUUCAAGUGUUAUGGAGUAGAAAUCAUGUGGAUGUGACUUAAGUGUUUGGACCAUUUAGUGUUUGAACACUUUUAGACCAUCAAAUAAGGGUCCUUUUAUGUGACUUGUGUUUUCUGGAUGUUUGCUAAG